GAUGAACGCUAGCUACAGGCUUAACACAUGCAAGUCGAGGGGCAGCGGUAUCGAAAGCUUGCUUUCGGUAGCCGGCGACCGGCGCACGGGUGAGUAACGCGUAUCGAACCUGCCUCAUACUCGGGAAUAGCCUUGCGAAAGUAAGAUUAAUGCACGGUGUGUUCAGAGUCCCGCAUGAGGCUUUGAACAAAGAUUUAUCGGUAUGAGAUGGCGAUGCGUCCCAUUAGCUUGUUGGCGGGGUAACGGCCCACCAAGGCAUCGAUGGGUAGGGGUUCUGAGAGGAAGGUCCCCCGCAUUGGAACUGCGACCCGGUCCCCACUCCUACGCGAGGCAGCAGUGUGGUAUAUUGGUCAAUGGGCGGAAGCCUGACCCAGCCACGUAGCGUGCAGGAAGCCGGCCCUCCGGGUUGUAAACUGCUUUUAGUUGGGAAUAAAACGGGGCUCGUGAGCCCUCUUGCCUGUACCAUAAGAAAAGGGACCGGCUAAUUCCGUG
rnacentral:rRNA from 1 species